rnacentral:rRNA from 1 species
GAUGAACGCUGGCGGCGUGCCUAAUACAUGCAAGUCGAACGCUUCACUUCGGUGAAGAGUGGCGAACGGGUGAGUAAUACAUAAGUAACCUGGCAUCUACAGGGGGAUAACUGAUGGAAACGUCAGCUAAGACCGCAUAGGUGUAGAGAUCGCAUGAACUCUAUAUGAAAAGUGCUACGGGACUGGUAGAUGAUGGACUUAUGGCGCAUUAGCUUGUUGGUAGGGUAACGGCCUACCAAGGCGACGAUGCGUAGCCGACCUGAGAGGGUGACCGGCCACACUGGGACUGAGACACGGCCCAGACUCCUACGGGAGGCAGCAGUAGGGAAUUUUCGGCAAUGGGGGAAACCCUGACCGAGCAACGCCGCGUGAAGGAAGAAGUAAUUCGUUAUGUAAACUUCUGUCAUAGAGGAAGAACGGUGGAUAUAGGGAAUGAUAUCCAAGUGACGGUACUCUAUAAGAAAGCCACGGCUAACUACGU